CUGUCUAUUGAUUUCGAAUAAUUCUUCGUCUCCUUCACUGAAUCUCAACAACAACAAUUCCUGCCGAAGGUGUAUGUUCGUCUCUCUGAAGAAUAGAUAUGAGAAGAUAGAUUAAUUCUAGGCUUUGUUCUUUUAAUCUUAUUGAGAAACCUAGCUCUAAUCUUUUUCGCCACCAUCAACAAUAAUCGAUCACUGCAAUUCGACAGAAUCCACAAUUCACGCAGAUUUUCUUUCCGUACUCUAAUUUUGGAUUCAAUUCUUUUCAGAUUAAUAAUUGACUCAGGUACUGUUAUACUUUGGCUGUAGCAGCACCAUGACAGCUUGAUUUUGCUCGGUCUCCUUCUUCGGGCUCUUGAAGCAUGGAUUGUCUCGAGAAAUUGGAAUAGAUUGGUGAUGGUGAAGGCAAAAAUGGGUGAGUCUAAUUUUUUGGUGAAGGCAAACAUGGGUAAGUCUAAUAUUUUUUUGUUAAUUUUGUUAUGAACUGACAAAGUGUUUGAAUAAAUGCCAUAGCUUAACAUUUAAAUUUGCUUCUUUUGAUUUAAAAAAUAUCGGCCACUAUAUUGUGCUGCCCUUUUCUUCUCCAUGAUACAUUCUUUGUCAGCAGAUGCAUGCACAUGGCAGCAAAAGGGACAAUCUUGGAUGCACUUUGUGUUGGUUCGUAUUGGUUACAUUUCUAUGAUGAUGUUAAAAUUAAGAAUGCCAUCCAUAUCGAUGAAAAAAAUAUUAAGCGUUAUUCUUGCGACAACAUAUGCUUCAUCGUGCUUCUAUUUUCUUAUCAUCUGAAGCUGAGACAGAGUGUGUUGUAUUGUGCAAAAGUGGCAAGGUAUGCAUUUUUUGAGGGAUUUUAACUCAAUGCUGUUAGUGUAUGUUACUCACAUUGCAGGUAGUUUAAGUAAUCACUAAGGAUUUAUUGUCAUGAUGUGAGUCUCAUUGGUUUGCAAAUUAUUGGUGGUUAUAAUUUGUCCUGAUUUUUUUUUGUUAAGCCAAUUAGCUCAAUUGAUUUGCCGCGAUUGAAAAUAGGUUUUCCCUUGAGGAUUUAAAGAGCGGCAAAAGGGAACUACUGGUAGUUUGUUGGUGGUUUGGUUUGUAAGAGUAGUAAGAUUAAUAUCUGCAUUUGUACCAGCAUUUGAAGAUUAGAGAAGUACUGAUCCAGUCACAAGUAUUUUAGACAUAAGGCUUCAGAUUUUUAUGGCUAAAUCUUUAGAUGACUUUGACACUUGAUGGUCAAAACAGAAUCUACAAAUCUGAUAGAAUGUUGUGUAUUAUGUUUUCAAUCUAGGGCUACACCAUAUGAUCCUCUUCUUAACUGGCCUUUUCGACAUUAUAGACGCCACUCACCAAGACUUCCCACAGCCAAAUUGGGAAUCCAAGUAGUGCAGCUUCUGAUUUCACUUAAUCGAAGGAGCAUGAUUAAUAUCUUCAUACCUGCUGUAAACGAUAUGGCUUCAAUGUUUACGCUAUGUCGAAAUAAUGAUACCCACUGAAUAUGCCCAAUGUUCUCAUCACUGAAGCUUGGAAAAAUUAUAAUCAAAUCAUUGACUAGCAACACAGGCUCAUCAUGUUUCAUUUUGGAAUUGUUGGUUGGACAAUUAUGAGAAGUGUCAAAUAAGUCUGACAAUGCGAAACUUUUGUUGUUUAAGGAUAGUAGGAUGCGACAUCAACGUGAUUUUGAUAUUUGCAUGCCAUAGUCUGUGUUUUUUAACGUGAUUGUUGCUUCAUGUAAUCUUAUGGUUAAAAUUUUGUGGCGGUUGUAUUUCGCUAUUCUUCAGGAUAUGAGAAUAUGGCCAUCUAAGUGUGCUGAUCUUUUGGUUUGGAUUUGCUCUUGAGGACUUUUUGAUCUAAAAAGGUGAGAUAUUCUCAUGUAGUACCCAUUUCUCCUUUCUAUUAGUUUAACUCUGGCGGAGAUACCAUUUUGGUUUCAUCUUGAUAGAGACACUUAGAAAGAGACUUGAAAAGUUAUCCCGAUUAAAUACUAUAAUUUGGCAAUUGGUUGGUGUAGGAUCACAUAUAUAUCUUUUGUACCUUCUGAUUUGCAACCUAGAUGAAAAUAAAUACGAAUCAUACUACACUCUAGCGAUGACUAACUGAAUGUCGCAACCUAGAUGAAAAUAAAUACGAAUCAUACUACACUCUAGCGACAACUAACUGAAUGUAUUAGAGCAACAACAUCGAAAAAGGGUCACUUGGAGCACUUACCUGUCGUCAUUACAAAGAAGUACUGUUGAGUGAGAGGUACGUUUGAUCAUUUAGUUAAGUGAUACUUUGAAGAAAUUAAAGUAUCAUCAUCGCUGUCUUGAAAAAUCCAUCCAGAUUCCAGGAGAUGCCUGAAUGGUUGAUUUGUUUUAAAAGGUUUCAACUUUGCUAGAAACAACUAUAUAUGAAAGCAUGUUCUUUUUAUGUGUUCCGUUCCGACGACACUUAUACCCACUGCUCAACGAUACAGAUCUACAUGAUCAAAAUGUGAGAAUAUGACGCAAUUCCGGCGGUAAUCUCUCAUGCCUUAGCAUUUGUGACUAAUUUUUGCUUAUUUCUUUUUACACUCUUUUUACCUGCUAAUGUUUAUAUGCGUCAGUAUUUUCUAUACAGACUAAUACAUCACAUACACCAUUAUAUAAAACUCCAGUGGUUGCAAUUUAAUGAAUCAUAGAGAUCUACAUACUGGUGACCGGCCGGACUGCUAAUCUUAAUUUUAUAUUCGAGUUGAAUGCUUUUGGACAAGACAGGUACGAAUCUUAUCUCUAGGAGACUGAGAAGCAGGCCUACGUGUGACAUGUGAUGUCCUCUUUGGUUUCUCUGUGAAGCUUAAUUGAAUGUACACUGACACCCAGCAGAAUUUCCCUGGAAAGUCAAACAGAAUCAUGUGUUUCGCAGUUACACGCUUGAAGCACCUUGCAGUCAGUGCUCCAGCAUUGUCUUUCAAGAGGGACAGCUAAAUCAACUCUUCCAACUGUAGCAAUUUUCAGUUUUGUUGGUUCUGUAAGGGGUCGGGAAGACUCAGAUUUAAUGUGGCUCUAAAUGGAUGUAGAUAAAAAGGAUGAUACUGAAGACAAAGGUGGUCUAAUAGUUAUGAAUGUGUAGCUGUUGGAGACGUUUCUCUCGGUCCUGUGAUUAUGAAAGCGAUUCUAGACAACAUGCUUCUGAUAGUGUGAGCUCCUUACAGGGAUGGGGAUGGUGUAAGCGAUAGCAACAAUAAUUCAGGUUAAGAUGUCACUACUAUUCUGGAAACGACAGUUUUUCAUCUAGCUAAUUUUGUUUUUUAUUUAUCGAUUUAGUUGUACUUUUCUCAUGCACUGCUACAGCAAUAACUUUUUGUAGAUAAUUUACGGAAUAAUUGAUCACCAUGUUUUUGUUUAUGUCAGGAUCCAAAAUUCUCAGAAUUGAUGUAAGCUCAUGUUAAUGAACUUUAGCAAGAUAGUGUAAGUUAGCAAUCAUACCUUUUCUGUUUUGCAAGCGUCCACUUCCACGAGAUGCACUUAGACUUGAGGAGUUUAGCUGACUCCAAUUUACGGUGUAUCUUGCCUCUUAGUCAAGUACAAUCAUCCUCAAUGUACAUUGAUUGCAGCCCUCACUAUUUGUGCAAGCUAAAAACUAGAGAAGAUACUUCUAUUUACAUGAGAGAAGACACUUCUAAUCUAAAUAUUAGUCAGUUCACUGUCGACAUUCCAAACAGGUGGAAGUGUGAAUUCAGUAUGCUCCAACCAUGCAUGGGACCUAAGAGUUUUGUGUAUUUUUGAGGCCAAACAUCCUGCAGUGUUAAUACUUUAGGGCCUAUUUUCGAUGAUAUCAGUGGUCACGGUGUAUAGGUGUGACUAUCUUGAGCAUUGUUUUUCAAGGUGCCAUCAUCAAAAAUUCCAUAAAUGCGAUAUAAAUGCAUGGGGAAUUGUUUGAUGUUAGUUCAGUGUUGUUUUUCUUUUACUAUUUUUUAGGCGAAAAUAUUCUUUGCAGAAAACACUUAUCGAGCAGAGACAUGAUGAGGCUUUCUGAGAAAAAUAUUUAACAAGGUUUUAAUACUUUUUUCUCCUAUACUCAUUGUAUGUAUUACUCUUAAGUAGUAAUCCAGCUUUCUGUUGACUAAAGUUUCUUAUAAGGUUGUCUUCCCCUGUUCCUAGACAAGAACCAUGAACAAAAGAUGGAGAGGAACCUUUUUUGUCAAAUCAUCCUAUGUUGAUAAUGUCAUCCUAUGAGACAAUGCCAUUAAUGUUCUUUGUCUGAUAAACCCAUAUUCUUUGUUUUGGCCAUCCAUCGCUUUUAUGUUUGCAGCAGAGUCUCAUAUUAUAAGUAUGACUCUUCUUUUUCUCAUAUCAUAGAUUAGGUGUAUUCUGAAAAGUACACAACAACAUCUUUAACAAUGUUUUUAGAUUUCAGAUAAAUCUUUUCAGAUUUCAGAUUAAUCUUCUGAGGGUGAAUGAUGUUGCAAUCUAUGAGGUUAACACCCGAAACAGAUGAUUAUGCAAUGAGGUUUGUAGGACAUUCCUCUGAUCUAAAUUUACAAGGACUUGCAAUUUUCCAGGUAUGUUGUGCUAAAUAAUUUUGUUACUAAAAAUUAAAAUGCUCCAUUGAUUUUAGUACUGGUAAACUUUUGCGUAGAUUUAGUUGUCUUUUUCUAUUUUUUUUGGCUAAAACUGCGGAUAUUGAAACUUCAGGUGUUUAAUUAUUUUAAGCUGAUUUAAUAAUUAAACUUCAGGUGUUUAAUUAUUUUUUAUCUGUAAGCAUAUGUUGUUGGCUUCAUCCUAAUCUUUAUUGAUUUAAUAGUUCCAAGACAUUUGAAGUGCAACAAGUGUUGCACACUUGCACUAUGGUCUUGAUUGGGUAUUACUUGAUAUUAUAUCCCAAUAUCCCAUGUUUUUUGGAAAUGGUAUCUGCUGUAUUUGCUCAAAUGGAAGAGCACGUGGUUUUCAACCAUGUAGUUGUGGGUUCGACUCCCAUAGAUGGCAUUCUUACUUGGGUUGGUUGGGCAGGUUAACAGUGAUUUCAUUGUUUGGUCGGUUGGAGAAGAUUUUCAGAAGGAUUCUCUCUGAUUAUCUCUCGAAGGGUAAACCUUCAGGUGACUGCUAAGAUUGUUUCAACGGGAUAACAGAGUAACUGAAAGGAUAUCCUAGCUUUGUUUCAGCGAAAAAAUAGUUUUGAUUUUUCAGUUGGGGAUUUCUUAACUAAAUAAAUUAUUUUUAUCGUCUCUUUUUUCAUUAGCAUUGAUUUGUUAAUUCUGAUGUUAAUUUAAUUCUCAAUUUUUGUCCUUUUUGGGGUUUCUUGGAGCGUUGCAGUAUUGAGAAUGUGAUUUGUGCUGCAUGAGUCAUUAAGGAUUUCCUUUAUAUACAAAUAUUGGACAAAGUCCAUCCCUUCUGGAGGUAAGUCAUAAGAAUAUAUUGUGGAGUCACCUUGGUUGGUAGGUAUCCUAAAUGACUACUGAAUUAGUUACCAAUAUCAUGUAGCUUUUAAUAAGCACUCGCAGUAUAAAUUUCAAAUAAAUGAGAAUAGGAGGUAACUAGCUUGAGACCAGUUUUGGAGAAAAACGAUGAAAUUCCAUGAGAAAUUAUUUAUUACGAAAUCCAUAUAAGAAACUAGAUGAGUAUUCAUGAUUUCAUAUUUGAUUAUUUGGUUGUUUGUGAUGCUUGGGUCAUUAGGUUUAUCAGUCGAUCGGUUUUUUCUUGAGGUUGUGGCGAAUGGAGUAAUUUCUAUACUCAGUUCACUUGGUGCAGGAAAGUAUCCACCUGAGUUUGUUCUGGAUAAUCAUUUGAACAUAGUAAAUAUGGCUCAACCGUGGAUUUCUGAAAGUUGAUGCUAGCUGUGGUGAGUUUUGUCUAAAUUAAUUCCGAGGAUGGUACCCAAGAAACCAUGUGAUUCGGGAAACUCCAGUGUUGGUAUAUGAUUGCCAGCGUAUUAGAGUCUCCGGUAUUACGCCGUUCCAUUAUUGUUCAAUGUAGCUGAGUAAAAGGUCCCUGAGAUAAAUCUGCUUAUUUGGAUCUAUUCAUAUGCUGUUGCUUAAUUUCAAACCGUAUGGACUGUUUAUAUGAUUGGUUCAUCCACCUGGGCUUUUGGUCAUCCGUUCUCUUGAAAAUUUAUGUUUGGUUUAUUUAGAUUAGACAAGUGCUAAUUUUGAA